rnacentral:rRNA from 1 species
GUUCCUACGGGAGGCAGCAGUGAGGAAUAUUGGUCAAUGGGCGGGAGCCUGAACCAGCCAAGCCGCGUGAGGGAAGAAGGUACAGCGUAUCGUAAACCUCUUUUGUCAGGGAACAAAGGCGGGGACUAGUCCCCGUAUGAGGGUACCUUAAGAAUAAGGAUCGGCUAACUCCGUGCCAGCAGCCGCGGUAAUACGGAGGAUGCGAGCGUUAUCCGGAUUUAUUGGGUGUAAAGGGUGCGUAGACGGG